rnacentral:rRNA from 1 species
GGGUGACAGGUGGUGCAUGGUUGUCGUCAGCUCGUGUCGUGAGAUGUUGGGUUAAGUCCCGCAACGAGCGCAACCCUCGACCUUAGUUGCCAGCAUUCAGUUGGGCACUCUAAGGUGACUGCCGGCUAAAAGGUCGGAGGAAGUGGGGAUGACGUCAAAUCAUCAUGCCCCUUAUGACCUGGGCUACACACGUGCUACAAUGGGCGGUACAAAGGGUCGCGAACCCGCGAGGGGGAGCCGAAUCCCAAAAAAGCCGCUCUCAUUCGGAUUGCAGGCUGCAACUCGCCUGCAUGAAGCCGGAAUCGCUAGUAAUCGCGGAUCAGCAUGCCGCGGUCGAAUACGUUCCCGGGCCUU